rnacentral:rRNA from 1 species
UACGAAGGGGGCUAGCGUUGCUCGGAAUGACUGGGCGUAAAGGGCGCGUAGGCGGCUGUGACAGUCAGAUGUGAAAUUCCUGGGCUCAACCUGGGGGCUGCAUUUGAUACGUGAUGGCUGGAGUGGGGAAGAGGGUCGUGGAAUUCCCAGUGUAGAGGUGAAAUGCGUAGAGAUCGGGAAGAACACCAGUGGCGAAGGCGGCCGGCUGGGGGCGCCCUGACGCUGAGGCGCGAGAGCGUGGGGAGCAAACCGG